CACGUCUGGUAGGUACUGCCCCAACCCUGCGUCAUGAACGCCUGAGGACCAUUUUGAUGAGGUGUAGUGGGUGCUUGGUUGAACGGACUCUGACCAAAUCCUCCAGGUCCACCCAUGCUGGUACCACCAACUUUCUCAUCUAUGAGAUGUCUAGCAAGUUCAAUCUGCUGGGGAACUCCUCUGAUUGUGAAUAUUCGUACACCAGGGUCUGUGUUCGGAGGUGGGUUUCUCUGCAGCUCCACGUGGGCUCCUGACUGCUGAUUUAUGCUCUUGAUGUUCUCACCACCUUUGCCUAUAACGAGACCGCACUUGUCAGCUGGCACCGUGUAGGUUAUUUCCUGCAUGCCCCCAGGUGUUCCAACACUCCAGUCCCCACGGCCACGACCUCUUCCCCGGGCUACAGCCAAACUUCCAAAGCCAUCUCGUUC
rnacentral:lncRNA from 1 species